UGUCCGUGUGACCUAUUGGUCACGGGUUCGAGCCCCGUAAGCAACCACUAAUGCUUGCAUUAGGGUAAGCUGUCCACAUUAUAUCCCUUGGGGUGCGACCCUUCCCGGACCCUGCGUGAACGCGGGAUUCCUUAUGCACUGGGCUGCCCUUUUAGGUUUAGAAAACUUUUGCUUACACUUAAUACACACACUUUCAGCCUGUUUGACUUUUAUUGUCCAAAUACUAAGAACCUAUGAAACAGAAAUUUGCAAUACAUAAAUAUUGAAACUGUACCAUUAACAAGGCUGUUACAUUGGCUUCAUUUAGUAGGCUAAUAAAUGUAUCAAACGUGAAGUAACCUAUUACUAAACUAGCAUUGAAAGUCAAUUCUUUAUUCCAAGCAAUUGUGUAAAUACUCUCACCUUGUUUCUGUGAAUCUUGUGUUCUUAAGCCCCAUCGUAGAUUUCCUUUUCACUAGUUCUGUCAGUCAAAAUGGUGCCAAAAUAUGCCAUGUCCUUGCUCUUCUUUUUUAUAAUAACAUGUGGGACCAUUAUAGUACGAGCGGAGCUUACAAAAGUUCCAUCGAGGCCUUAUCUUAGAGGUAAUCCAGGGUUAUUGCCAGGACCAGUUUCAUCUCGUGAUGGUAUUUCAGCAGUCAAAAGAGUAGAGGGUUGCAAUCCACAGGUAUAGGCUUCCAAAAUCCCGUGCUGAAUUGUGUGAGCCUUGCUAGGACGUUAAGUUUUACGAAUACUUUUUAGCCUUGCUGGUCUAUGAACUUUGAGAUGAGAAGUGGCUGAAGAUUUGAAUAUUGGCUAUGGGUAUGCCAACGAGGCGGUGCAGUAGCGGGGCGGUUUUAAGCUCAUGGGGGCAGUGCGCGGGUUAAACUUAUGCGGGGUGGUGCGCGGACGGGGUGGGGUGGGUUCAAACAUUUUAUAAAGAAUCAAAACAGUUGCGGGCGGUUGUGGGUUUGAGCGUUUUUUUGCAACUAUGCAUCAGAUUGUUUUCAAAGUGUCCUAAGAAUGGAAGCUAAUUAUAUCUAAAGAGUUUUCAAAGUCAUACUUUAUUUUUGUAUUCCAGUUUCUAUUACACUUUUUAUCCACCCACUUUCUAUUACUACACUUUAUCCUUUUAUUUCUUCGUGCUGAGACGAGAUUAAAAUUACGCUUAAAGAAGAAGUCUUGAUCUUCAGUUAUGUUAAAAAGAUUUUCUCUGUUUGGUAUUUUCUUUUUUAUGUUUGCCUAAAUUACUUACUUCAUCUUUCCAUUUCCUUCUUUGUUCAUCCUCUGUUAAUUACUUUUGGUUGCAAAUGUUGUGUGAAUAUUUUCUUUUUCAUUUUCAAAUCAUUAUACAGAGCUUUCCUUUUCAUUCUUUGCUCAUCUUAUACCAAGAGGUUGCGAGUUCGAGUCACCCCAAAAGCAAGGUGUGGAGUUCUUGGAGGGAAGGAUGCCGAGGGUCUAUUGGAAACAACCCCUCUACCCUAGGGUAGGGGUAAGAUCUGCUUACACACUACCCUCCCCAAACUCCACUUGUGGGAUUAUACUGCAUUGUUGUUGUUGUUGUUGCUCAUCUUAUACCUGAAAUAGAAACAUUCUUAUAACUUAGGCGGCAGGUUUAAUGUCCCAAGGAUGUUUCCGAACAAUUGGAUGAACAAAAAACAGCUGGGUAGUAAAUUUUUAGAAUUUGAAGUAAGCAUAUGCAAGAAAAACAACUCAUUGAAAAUGACAAAAAUGAAAAUACUUAUAUGCGCGGCAAGGAAGACAAGAUGAAAAUAGAAAAUUUUGCUAUGCGGGAUAGGAUGGGACGGGAUGGGUUGAAGUCUUUGCGGGUUGAGGCAGAACCCGCACCACAACCGCCCCGCCCUGCCCCAUUGCCAUCUCUAAUUGGCUGUGCUUUAUUUGCGAUUAACAACUAAAUAUGUCUUGUAGCAUCUCUCUCAUCUACCUAAGCGUUGGUGAAAAUCACCCGGUACUUGUAUUGGUGGGAAGAUGCAAGUGGAAGGUGGAAAUAUCAAGGUGUGAGCAAGCUGGCAUAGACACUAGUACAUAAAAAAAAGUAUAGUGGCAUGUCAAGCUAUUGCGUCCAACCUACGCAACCUCUUUGGAUGAAAGUCUCCUUGUCAUGGCCGUAAAUACAAAUGCUAAAGAGUUUUUAUGUAUGCAGGCAUUUCCUAUGUCUAGUGCCCUUUGAAAAGCAUAAUUAUGUGGUUAUCUAUGUGUAUAUGCACUCGAAUUCCGGUCGUUCUGCCUCAGUAAGCGUAACUGCAUUUGUUUUUUCAGUUUAAUGCUGUGAAAUUUCUUGUUUGCUCCUUGUGAUUAAGCUUAUGCAGUUCACAUUUCUGCUUUUCCAGUGAUGUUUCAUUUACCUUUAAUAUGCACCG
rnacentral:lncRNA from 1 species